rnacentral:rRNA from 1 species
UACGUAGGGUGCAAGCGUUGUCCGGAAUUAUUGGGCGUAAAGAGCUCGUAGGCGGUCUGUCGCGUCUGCUGUGAAAACUCAGGGCUUAACCCUGAGCUUGCAGUGGGUACGGGCAGACUAGAGUGCGGUAGGGGAGACUGGAAUUCCUGGUGUAGCGGUGAAAUGCGCAGAUAUCAGGAGGAACACCGGUGGGCGAAGGCGGGUCUCUGGGCCGAUACUG